UACGUAGGUGGCAAGCGUUGUCCGGAUUUAUUGGGUUUAAAGGGUGCGUAGGCGGCGCCGUAAGUCAGUGGUGAAAUACUCUAGCUCAACUAGAGGGGUGCCAUUGAUACUGCGGUGCUUGAGUGAAGUCGAGGUAGGCGGAAUUGACGGUGUAGCGGUGAAAUGCUUAGAUAUCGUCAAGAACACCGAUAGUGAAGACAGCUUACUAGACUUAUACUGACGCUGAGGCACGAAAGUGUGGGGAUCAAACAGG
rnacentral:rRNA from 1 species